rnacentral:lncRNA from 13 species
UGUCUCUGCAACAAGUAAAAUAAAUAUUGAUCCUUUGUACGUAACUGUAUAAUUCUUUUCAUUUAAUUUUUAUUAGUUCUAUUAUAUCAGAACUAUGAAUCAUAUUUAUACUUUUUAGCAGUAGCUUGUAUGGAAAAGAUGGUUCCAACGCAAUAUCACUUAAAAGACUGCUCAACCUUUAACAGUAUUUGUGAUGCAAUUUUAUUAUCGCAAAUUACAGUUUAUUUACACAAAGCAUGUAGAUAUAAUUUGCUAUUGAUAAAAAAUUGUUUCUUUUUAUAGGAGAGAAAACGUAUGUCGAGAAAACGAGCUCUGAUGUAAUUACGGUGCAAAAAAGAGAAAGGAAGUUUUGAGUGGGAUGAAUCACCCGUAUUUAAUUAUCUUGCCCGUACCUCUUGGAAUUUAUGCAACUUGACACACGACCCUGCUCCGUAAGCUGCGAAUACAUCUUGAUUGCCAAUCAUCCAUGUCAAUCCCACAACUGUAUCAUCCACGGAAAUGGUUUGCUGAUUGACAUGCUACGUCCAUGUAACACGAUUACGUAGUUGCAGUUACGUAAAGAAUGAAAUUUAAUAUGCAAUAAAUAAAUUGUAAAAUUUUAGCUA